UACGUAGGGACCAAGCGUUGUUCGGAUUACUGGGCGUAAAGGGCGCGUAGGCGGCGCGACAAGUCACUUGUGAAAUCUCUGAGCUUAACUCAGAACGGCCAAGUGAAACUGUUGUGCUAGAGUGCAGAAGGGGCAAUCGGAAUUCUUGGUGUAGCGGUGAAAUGCGUAGAUAUCAAGAGGAACACCUGAGGUGAAGACGGGUUGCUGGGCUGACACGUGACGCUGGAAGCGCGAAAGCCAGGGGAGCAAACGGG
rnacentral:rRNA from 1 species